UACGUAGGGAGCAAGCGUUGUCCGGAAUCAUUGGGCGUAAAGAGCGCGUAGGCGGUCCGGUAAGUCGGUUGUGAAAACUGGGGGCUCAACCCUCAGAGGCCGACCGUUACUGCCGGGCUAGAGUCCGGAAGAGGCGAGUGGAAUUCCUGGUGUAGCGGUGAAAUGCGCAGAUAUCAGGAGGAACACCAAUGGCGAAGGCAGCUCGCUGGGACGGUACUGACGCUGAGGCGCGAAAGCGUGGGGAGCAAACAGG
rnacentral:rRNA from 1 species